CAUUACCACUAGGGGUGCCUUUGUUAAGGCUGAGAUUAAAGUGAACUUUAAGACCCUUGGAACCUGAUUUGGUUAGAACCAGCGUAGGGAAGUGGUGUGUGGAUCAG
rfam:Fictibacillus phosphorivorans strain G25-29, complete genome.